rnacentral:tRNA from 11 species
GGGGCCAUAGCUCAGCUGGGAGAGCGCUUGCAUGGCAUGCAAGAGGUCGUCGGUUCGAUCCCGAUUGGCUCCACCA